GGAAAAUACCACCCUGUUCAUAUCUGCUACCGUAUCAAAUCUUCUGCUAUUAAAGGUGAAGAAAUGACAACUCAACUAGAAUCUCAACCUAAGGAAUGCAUUUGAUGUAAUAAAAAUCCAAAGAACAAUUUGAUGGAGGGAAAAAUUGCAGUGGCAAAUCAAGGCUCCUAAAUUUGUGGGGGCGAAAAUACAUUUAUAUAAAAUAAUUAAUAAAAAAUUCAAUUCAACUAAAAAAUCAUUAAAAGAUUGUAUGUAUUCAUACAUCUUCAACUAAAAUAAUAAAAACAAAAAUAAGAACAUAACAACUUGUAUAUGUACACAUCUAUUAAUGUUAAACAUUCUAAAUUGCAUUCAC
rnacentral:misc_RNA from 1 species